AUGUAUAGCCAUGCCACCCUGAAUGUGCCAGAUCCUGUCUGAUCUCAGAAGCUAAGCAGGAUCGGCCCUGGUUAGUACUUGAAUGGGAGGCCACCUAAGAACACCAAGUGCUGUAGGUG
ensembl:rRNA 5S_rRNA 5S ribosomal RNA